AUAAUUUUUUGGCAGGUAGGUGCACUAUCAAACUUCCGUUAUAUAAGCCGUCUCCUGCAAAGAACGAUAACUCGUGCGUAGGGGCAAUAACCUUUACCGUAUUUCCGGUUGCAAGAACGUCGAGCCCUACUUUCGCUAUAGCCGCGCGCUAUUCUCUCGAGCCCUCUACAGACAAGAAAAUGUCGUGUGAGUCGUAGUCUACAUGCUGUACAAAUUUCAGGAGGAUGAAUGUUCACAGAGUCACUGUCAAUGUCAAUAUAAUAAAGGGAGGUGAUUGCAGCUUUGAAGUUUUCUUUGGGAUGAGACUUGGAAUUAAUGGGAAUUUUCACUCCACAGAGCCUACACAUACACUUUAACUUUAAUUCAUGCUCCAUUUCUGUAGAAAAAAUAAAGUUUUGAAUAGAU